UUUUCCUCCCUGCCUUUUGAACUCUCAAGAAGCUUACAAGAUCAUUUCUGUUCUCUGUUUGUGUUUUGGACAUCUGACCUCUGUUUUAUUGUUGGACUGAUUUUUGUUUUCCUUUGGAUUGAAUCUACUGCUAUUGUUUUUAACCUGUUAUUCCAUGUGAUCUUCUGAGCGUUGAAGAGUCCAAUUCCUAUGUUUGCAUUCUUGGAAAUCUGCAAGUAAAAACUGAAAACUGACUUCUCUCUGCCUUGAGUCUGUGUUUCGUGAUACUGGGAUUCGGGAGGAGCUGUUGGCACUGAGGGAGCAGCACCAGCAGCACCAUGAGGAGGUGAGGGCAUGGGAGCGUACCUAUGUUCACCAGAUCCUAUGUUCCCCUGUCUCUGUAUGGGACCCUUUGUCUAAAUGGAGCGCUGCUCCUUUAAGGGAAGUCUGACGCUGCGGCACACGUCACCACGCCGCUCGUAGAGGCUUAUGGGAAGUCUCUUCAUAAACACUGCCAGUGGCUAGUAUUCGGUAAGCCUGCAAAGUUCCCCUUUGCGCGUUUCAUCACCACCGGCGAAUGCUGUGGUUGCUUCUCCCCUCGCCGUCGAGAGGAGUGCGGUGUCCAGUUCAGAUCUAGGAGAUGUGGACCAUUUCUUGUCCUCGUUGUGAUUCCAACUUGGCGUCUCUUACUUGGCUAGAGUGAUCUCUUGCUUCUCCACUGGCAAGGACUUCGGUGGACAAUACCAACGGUUACCUUGCGCCUUUCCCGUCUCCUGCACGCCGGUAUGUAUUAUAGUGGGUUAGCUUGUGCCUUUACCCAGCCCUGACUGUUUGUUUUCGUACCAUGGUUGCUAACGACGGCCAUUAUUAUGGUUUCAGCAUGUGGUCGCUACCGGCGCCUCGGCCGUGUACCUCUGUAUUGGCACUCCGACUGUGAGAAUCGCGCAUCGGUGCACCCUCAUCUCCGGGUAAGGUAACCUCUCGGCAGCAGAAUCGUGUGAUAGUGGGUGUCCUGCUAGCUUGGCUAACGCUCUCCUCCUCCCUCGCAGGUUGUAUCCGUGUGGCCGUGGUCAGACACACCACGCGUUUAGGUGCACGAGCGGCGACUUUUAGCCCCGGUUGUGUGGUGCCUCUGGAAGCCGGGAACCCGUAUUUCGGCUGCUGCUCCGGCCUCGGAAAUUGGACAUUCGUGUGUGUGUGUGUGUGUGUGUGUGUGGGCGCUCGGCUCGGUGUGAGCUGGUGUGUGAGCCAUUCCACAGUGUGUGUGCGUGUGCGUACGCUGGUGCGUGUGAGUGUGUGUGUGUAGGUAGUGUGGGGAUACCUAGGGGACUGCACUGAGCUGAGCCUCUGGCAUUGGUUUACCUCAUGUUUUGAUUUCGUUUUCUUUCGUUUGCUGUGCCUAAUUUCCCUUUUUUUAUUAUUUCAUUCAAUUAUCUAAUUUCUAAUUUAACUGCAUGUGCUUAUUGGAUUUUGAUUUAUUUUGCAUGGUUUGCUGUGAUUUCUUCUUGUUUCUGUUUGCCGUGAAUUAUUUCUGUUUGUUGUGAACUAUUUCUUUACUUUUCUUUUGUUAAUUCUGAGGUGUGCCAUUGGCCCUAAUGUGUUAGCCGUGCCAGCCCCUAGUGGCACAGUCUGACAACCUGAGUGUGGGUUCUAAGGCCUUAGGCCUACCAGGUGUGUUGUUUAGUGUGAAUUAGCGAACAUACUUUGGGGCAGGUGUUUACAGAUCCGCGGGUGUGGUGGCAGCACGCCCACCCCUGCACUUUACGAAUUGUGAGUAACUUUUUAUAUUUAUUACAGAGAGUGACCAACAUAUUUUUAUACUGAAAAUAAUAAUAAAGAUUUGAAUUAUAAAUUGUCA